CAAUUCUAAUUAUUUGUGAUCUCUUUUCCUCAUAUGAAUGUAUUAUAAUUUAUUUGCCCAGUAACAUUUUGCUGCAUGUUUGUUAUUCCCAUAUUUCAAUAUUACAAAUGUCAUGUCAUAAAAACCUUUCAGUACAACUUUUAGUCAACAUUCUAGCUUUUCCUUGUGACAGGUCUCCAGAAAUAGAAUUUACUGCCUCAAAUGAUACAAAUAUUUUAAGGUUCCCAAGGCAUUUUGCCAAAAUUUUAGAGGGAUUAUCAACUCAUCCCCACAAUCCAUGCUUUAAAGUGUUGUUCUCACUGUCCUUACAUUGUUUGUGUGUCCCAAUUUCAGUAAAAUGCUACCAAAUUGAAAGUCAGGAAGCAGCAUGAUGUGUUGUUUGAAUGUGUAGCCCCACUGGCUAAAGAGGAGGCCCCGCCGCAUUAAUGAUACGGGCUCAGAACAGAUGGCAGGGUCUAAGGUGAUCUGGCCUGGCUAGAAUUUCUCACUAAUAAAUGUGAGACUACGUUUCCAGAUAAAGCUCAGGGAGAGAAAACUCUGGGAAUUUUACACAGCACACACAAUGGACUUGACCUCCAAACAAAUGGCCUCUGUUGGGGUAGAAAGAAAAGAACUCCCCAAUGUCAUAGACCAGGAUGCUCCCUUUUUGUCUUCAUGUCUUUAAAAUAUGGACUUUGGGAGUUCCGUCGUGAUUCAGCGGGUUAUGAACCCGGCGUUGCUGUGGCUGCGGUGUAGGUCAGCCGCAGAAGCUCUGAUUCAACCCCUACCCUGGGAACGUCCAUAUGCCACAGGUGCCGCAGCCCAAAAAGCAAAACUUCCAUAUGCCACAUAUGCCGCAGCCCUAAAAAGCAAAAACCUAAUUAAUUAACUAAUUAAUUAAAAAAUAAAAUGAGGACUUCAUAUUAAAAUAUACAUAUAAAUUUAUAGACAGAGAUUCUUUGGUAGACAACCGACCAGAGACGUAACCCAUCUAUUCAUGCGGUAGCAAUAAUUUGAGAUGUAACAGUAAUAAAUAUCUUUGCAAAAUGAUAUUCAUUCAGAACAGUUUUCUGAGUAGCUGCUUAAUGUUCUGGAAGGAAUCUUAUGUGAUUGUCUUUUUUUUAAAAAAGCCUCAUCUAUAUCUCUGCUUUAUAUAGUUUUAACUUAAGAAGCUGGUAAGAGCGUAUAUCAGUAUCACUAAUAAUCAGACCAGAAAAAUCAGAAAAUUAUUUUGACUUUUCUACUUUCUCAUGAAUAACAGUUAAUAUAUUAUUCCAUAUAUUCUGCUAUUAAGUGGGUGAAUGGAGCUAUAUUUCUGAAAUUAAAUUUUAUUGUCUAAAUUGAGCUCACCUUAACAAAAUAUCACUUGACAAAUUCCAUGUAUAGCCAAAAUAAAUUCAUUCAACUUGGUUAUUGAAUUAUAGAGAAAAUCUCAGGCCUACCACAUUUGUAGAAAAGGUAGUAUCGUAAUUAGCCAAUAGUUAUAAUAAAGAUUAGCUAAUAUAUUUAAAGUAAAAUAUGAUAUUUUUAAAAAAGGAGUUCCAUUGUGGCUCAGUGGGUUAAGGAUCUGGUGGUGUCACUGUUGUGGCUCCAGUUACUGCUGUGGCACAGGUUUGAUCCCUGGCCCCAGAACUUCCACAUGCCAUGGGCACAGCCAAAGAAAAAAAGAACCUAAAAAUAAAAUAGCAAAGUCUCUUUGACAGAGUUAGGAAAUGUGGUCGAUUAGUUCUUGGGAAGAAACUAUUACAGAAGAAUCAUAACUCAGCAAUGGCAUAAUUCAUAUCAACUCAAAAUUGUAAAAUGGCUUAGUAGGAAACAUUAGUUUAAAGUGUUCUGGAAAUAAAUUUAUCAUAUAAAUUUAUUCAUGAAUUAAAGUUUUUUUUUGUGUGUGUGGGCAUUUGGAAAUUGUUUCUCUUAACAGAACUUCAGGGUUUAGACAUGAACAGAAAGACCUCCCCCUCUCCUCCAAAUCUGAUGCUUAAAAUUUAAUCAUCAAAUUGGAAAAUAUGAGAAUAAGAACGAUGUCUAGAUAAUAAGUGAGAUAGCACCAACUCACCUUAUUUGUUUCUCUUAAUGCUGUAGAAUAACAAUAGUGCAUUUUCCUAUGUGUUCAAUAAUUUUUAGACAUUUUUCUAUGUGUCAAGUCAAUGUUUGCAAAAAAUGCCAAUAAAUAGUUAAUAUGUUGGGUAAAUUUAAUAUAUCAUAUGUACUAUUAUUGAAGAUUAUAAGUAAUGUUAUAAAUAUGUUAGAGAUAGCUGAUAUAUAGUUUCAUGUCCUCUACAUUUCAAAGUUAUGAGGAGAUGGAUCUGCUGUGCCCUAUAAAAAUGGGCAAAAUUCCACUGUUUAUCCAUUUGAUGCAAAAAACAAAAGGCACAAUCAAGGGACUCAUGUGUUGAAGCCAGCAGUUUCUCCAAAAUUUUCUAGAAGUACGAAAAAGUUCAAAUGUACUUCAGUAAGUUCCUCAGAAGUGAUUUGAUGGUGAACAGUCUUCUUAAGUCAUUUCAAGUACAAGAGCUGCCAUUAAGAUGUCUGAGACAAAUAGUUACAGACUGGGCAUUUUUCUGUAAUUGUGAUCCAAUUUCACGCUGGUUUCAAGGUCAUAAAAGCUCCAAGGGUAUUCCUGGUACCUGAUCUCAAUCUCCAACAGAUGAGACCAGCUCUCAUGAGUACAUGCUGUAACAAGACUGUCUUCAAAAUUGAAGAGAUUAUUACGGAAGUAUGAGCAGGAUAAUGUGUCAGGAAAUAUACAAAAGAUUAUUAAUAAAGUGAAAUGAACAUAGGAAUCAACUGCUUAAGAGUCACAGGUUACUGACAUCAUCAUGAUGACAUACAACUUCCCUUAGACUUCACUUGUAUUUUUAAAAGCUUUUGAGAGAAAUGCAAUUGACCUAAUCUAUCACGAGUACAGACAUAUGAUCCUUUUCCUCUGGAAAACAUGGCAGACUUUUUUUUUUUUUUUUUUUAAUUUUCCACUAUCGGAUACUAUUUCCAAAGUUUAAGGGCUAUAGAACAAACGGAAUAGCUUUCAUUUUAUAGUUGUGUCAACGCUACCCAAUCAUGGUUGUAGAGCUAGUUAUUCUUUAACUUCUCUUACACUCUUGGGGCCCUCUGCCCUCCAAGACAUAAAAAGAGAAAAUGAAGUUGCAUUGUAGUAGAAGAGAUUAAAGCUACAUAUAACAAUUCUGAGACAGGAAGAACUGUUAAAAUUUUGAACACACUAAAGAAAAUUGAUAAAUCAAUCCCUCUCUUUCUUUCUCUGCCCCUCCCCCCCUUUCUGCCAGUCAGUCUGUCUAUCUGUCUCACGCUUUUUCCUUCUCUCACCCUCAUCUCUCUAAUGGGUUUAAAGACAUUCCUUUCUAAAGUUAAACCGAUUGGCAUGCUGAAUUCUGUUUUAGAGAUUGUAUUAUUACACACGUCAGAUGAAAAACAUCUUAAAUUAAAAACAAAAGAUAUUCAAAAGAAAAUAAAUCAAAUUGCAUAGAUAUGCCAUCUCAUUCUUCUCUUCCAAACCAUUAAUAAUUACCUUUUAAAAAACUGCUCAGAAAUCCAGUUUGCUACUUUGAACCCCCAAUUUAUUAUUGAAAGCUACAGGAAAAAAGAAAACUUCAAGUCACUACAAGCAGACUCAUUUGCUAAUUGCAUUUGCAUUUGCAUUUAUUGGAGACAAAACUCAAACACUUACUUCUCAUAAUCUUCAUCAUCGAGGACACUGGAAGCAAUCUAUUCCAGUAGAAAGUUGAGAUACAAAAUACAGAAAUAUUUCCUGCUAUAAUUUAGGCUCCAACAAACUGAAAAAGAAAAGAAAAGGAAAGGAAAGAAAUACAUAGUAGUUUUUUAAUGUUACCAUUUCCUUCAAGUGUCAAACACAGAGUUCCCUAGCAGGUGCUCCCGUUCAUCCUGAUGUGUGUGAAUGGUUUGCAGGGCGUCUGGGUCGAGCCUGGGGCCAGACCUUCCCCAGCUUUCCGUCUCUGCUGGAAGAAGCCUCCUUUUUUAAAUCCAGUAUGCUAUAUAAUACUAUUUUCAAUGAGAGCUAUCAUGUGGAAGAAUUUGAGAAACCUCACUAUACAGUAUACAUGGUAGCCAGUGACGUAGGUAGUAACGUUGGGAGUUCUCCUAAUCACAAUGAUAAAUACAUAAAGUGGGCUCAAAACCCCUGCAAGGAAGAGAAACAACGUCUCUUUUUAACCUGCUAGUUUUUAAAAUGGUUUGUAUUUGAUGCCAAAAUCUUCGAAAGCUCCCAGGGAAAUGUGAACAGUAAAGGAAACUAUUACAUCCUUUAACUUGCUUAUAUUUACAGCACGAUGAUUAGCAAAAAUCUCCUUUACUCUAAUCAAAAAAAGGGAUAUUUAUUUUGAUAUUCUGGUUUUAUACUUUCCUAGAUUAAUGGCACUACUCCAUGGACUUUUAGACCACUGCUAGAAAAGAUCAUUUUCUCCAUGUUUUAUUUUUGCAACUACAAGUGGAGUUUUAGGGAAAGUCCAAAAGUCAGGUAGUUCUUUUGCUUUCGAUGGGUGUAUGCUCUAUGUAAGGGUCCAUGCAUCUUCGUUCCUAUUUAGUGGCCAAUAUAUUUCUUCUGGUUUUUGGAAGUACACUCACAGAAACCCCCAUGCCAUUCUUGGCUCUUGAAAAUUCUUCCAUUUUCCAAAGAAUCCACACCAAUAAAACAGUUUUGAUUCAAAAUGAAAAACAAAAACUCUCAUGCUUAUUUUGUUUUGAAUGUUUGUAUGUACAGAGUUCUAUUUUUAAAUUGACCUUAUUUCAAUAUAGUCUUUUAUUAUCUUUAGAUUUAAUUUAGCAGACUUUGCCUUUAGAAUUUCCUUGCGAAAAUGUAGCAAUUCAAUUUUUAUGUUACCACAGAGAAAUGAAAUACCAAGAAACCAAAGCCCUCACUACCACAAAGGACUAUAAAAAAGAGAGGACAAAACAUUGUUUGUCUCAAGGCCAUCAUUUUAACUCACCAAAUUUCAAUUCACCGUCAUUUUAACUCACAAAAUUAAAAAGUGGACAAUGUUUAAAGACACUUUCGUUAUCCUAAGUAUAUAAUUACAAGUCAUCUUAGCCACAUCAAACCUCUGUUUCUUCAUAUCCUGUAAAACGCAAAUAAAUUACACACCAGCUUUAGUGUAUAGAUAUUAAGUGUCAGUCAACACUAUUUAUAACACUAUUUUCUAACUCAUUUAAUUUCACAGUUUGUAAGAUAUGAACUAGUCUCCCCUCUUCACCAUCCUGCCUCUGCCCCUUGAAAUAUUUAUAGUUUUCAAAAGGAGCAGAAAAAUGCCAAGUUUAAAAGAUAAAAAUAAGAAAUUCAGUGUAUUUUCAUUAAAACGUUAGGGCAUUUAAUGGUCAGAGACUGAAGGCUAGGCCCAGAAUAAACUCUUUAGUCAGGGUAUAAGCAGGUUUCAGAGAAGUUGUGCCUGAUUUCCUAGACCCAACUCUAACACUUUUUGGUCAGUCCAAAAAGACCUGGACGCUUAUUUUUAACAAGGAUAAUGAUGGCUCUUUGGAAAUGACUGUUUUCAAUUUGCAUAAGAGCCAAAUGGCUAUGCAGAGAAUUUUUAACUGGACAGUUCUAGAGACAAGCAUGCUGAGUGAGGACAGAUCAUCUGAAAGACUGCUGAGAUUAUGUGUGUUUUUGCUGUAUCCCAACACCGAGAACUGUACCUGGCACAUGACAGGUAUUCAAUAAGUCGUUGUUAAAUGAAUAAACAGGCUUGGGGACUAGAGAAUGAUUUCCUUUGGGAUCCAUGGAGAUUUGUUGUAACUCUCUAGAUGUGGUGGCAAUGAACCCAUUCACUUGUCCCCAGACUCCUUCUAUCUGCAUUUGGGUAAAUGUCAAGUCAGUUAUCUGCAUCUACACCUGUAUAACCUGUGACCUCCCCUAAAAUCAGAGUUCCCCAAAUUGGUGGAAGGGAAUGAAUUUAGGGUUACAAAGCCUAGCUUCCAACACUGAGCAGCCAUCUAGUCUCCAGAUAGCAACUGCUACUCUAAGAAAUAUUUCCUAACCCUGCGUGAACAUGAGAAUCAAGUAAACAAUCAUUUUG
rnacentral:lncRNA from 1 species